rnacentral:SRP_RNA from 1 species
AACCGGGAUAGGAGGGGUGUUGACGAGCCCUGUACCGCAAAUCGUAUCUGGCGGUCCGAACGCUCUCAGGCGGCGAAAGCGAGCCUUGGAUUUCCCACGUAUGGACGUAGAUGUCUCGCCCCUGAGUGACUCGGGUUGUCGCGAACCGUCUCCGGAGGGAGGCGGGAAGCGCGUAACUGGGGGACCAGGUCAGGCCGGGAACGGAGCAGCCCUACUCGGGGCCAUGGGUGCCUCGGGGUCACGGGACGGAGAAAGUACGUGGAUUGGAUUCAGGGAAACGAACGUCCACUGAGGGAAUUCCCACCU